rnacentral:rRNA from 1 species
UACGUAGGGGGCGAGCGUUGUCCGAAGUUAUUGGGCGUAAAGCGCGCGCAGGCGGCUUCGCGCGCCCGCCGUGAAAGCCCCCGGCUUAACCGGGGAGAGUCGGUGGGGACGGCGAAGCUUGAGGGCGGGAGAGGUCGGUGGAAUUCCCGGUGUAGUGGUGAAAUGCGUAGAGAUCGGGAGGAACACCUGUGGCGAAGGCGGCCGACUGGGCCGACCCUGACGGCUGAGGCGGCGAAGGCGUGGGGAGCGAACGGGAU